CAGGCUACACAUGACUCUGGAAUUCAUGUUCAAGGAAAGUAAAAGGAACAAUGUCUACUUGGAGAAAUGGUUGAUUUCAAGCUGGGGCAAGGAAAGACAAAGGACUCCUUGUUCCAAUCAUCUGACUGUAUGGGAACUUAAAAGGGGGAUCAUUAUUCAGCGGCUCCUUAGGGGGAAUCUCAGCUCUGGUGGCAUUUUAACCUCAUGCUUCUUCAACUGGAGUUGGCUGGCCACGGCAGUAAUAUCCCUCAAAAUAUGCAGCGGUGUGAUGGAGAAGCAACAGGGUAAAAUGGGAGUAUCUUCUGGGACCCUCAAUUUUUCCGAAUGAUUCUUUUCCCAUAUGGAUCAUUACAGAAUAUUGAGUAGAAUUCCC